rnacentral:tRNA from 1 species
GCGGGCGUAGCUCAGCGGUAGAGCAUCGGUCUCCAAAACCGAGUGUCGCGGGUUCGAAUCCUGUCGCCCGUA